GAUGAACGCUGGCGGCGUGCUUAACACAUGCAAGUCGAACGAAGCAUUUAAGACAGAUUACUUCGGUUUGAAGUCUUUUAUGACUGAGUGGCGGACGGGUGAGUAACGCGUGGGUAACCUGCCUCAUACAGGGGGAUAGCAGCUGGAAACGGCUGGUAAUACCGCAUAAGCGCACAGUACCACAUGGUACAGUGUGAAAAACUCCGGUGGUAUGAGAUGGACCCGCGUCUGAUUAGCUUGUUGGCGGGGUAACGGCCCACCAAGGCGACGAUCAGUAGCCGGACUGAGAGGGUGACCCGACACAUUGGGACUGAGACACGGCCCAGACUCCUACAGGAGGCAGCAGUGGGGAAUAUUGCACAAUGACGGAAACUGUGAUGCAGAGACGCCGCGUGAGUGAAAAAGUAGUUAGAAAUGUAAAGCUCUAUCAGCCGAGAAGAUAGUGACGGUACCUGACUAAGAAGCGCCGGCUAAAUACGUG
rnacentral:rRNA from 1 species